rnacentral:rRNA from 1 species
GACAGAGGGUGCAAACGUUGUUCGGAAUUACUGGGCGUAAAGCGCGUGUAGGCGGCCCUGCAAGUCGGAUGUGAAAUCCCACGGCUCAACCGUGGAAGUGCAUUCGAAACUGCAGGGCUAGAGUCCUGGAGAGGAAGGUGGAAUGCUUGGUGUAGAGGUGAAAUUCGUAGAUAUGGGGAGGAACACCGGUGGCGAAGGCGGCCAUCUGGACGGUAACUGACGCUGAGACGCGAAAGCGUGGGUAGCAAACAGG